rnacentral:rRNA from 1 species
CAGCCGCCACGGGAAUACGUAGGGUGCGAGCGUUAAUCGGAAUUACUGGGCGUAAAGCGUGCGCAGGCGGUUCGUUAAGACAGAUGUGAAAUCCCCGGGCUUAACCUGGGAACUGCAUUUGUGACUGGCGAGCUAGAGUAUGGCAGAGGGGGGUAGAAUUCCACGUGUAGCAGUGAAAUGCGUAGAGAUGUGGAGGAAUACCGAUGGCGAAGGCAGCCCCCUGGGCCAAUACUGACGCUCAUGCACGAAAGCGUGGGGAGCAAACAGGAUUAGAUACCCGGGUAGUCCCUGUCUCUUAUAC